AGAUUGAACGCUAGCGGGAUGCUUUACACAUGCAAGUCGAACGGCAGCGCGGACUUCGGUCUGGCGGCGAGUGGCGAACGGGUGAGUAAUAUAUCGGAACGUGCCCAGUAGCGGGGGAUAACUACGCGAAAGCGUGGCUAAUACCGCAUACGCCCUACGGGGGAAAGGGGGGAUCGCAAGACCUCUCACUAUUGGAGCGGCCGAUAUCAGAUUAGCUAGUUGGUGAGGUAAAGGCUCACCAAGGCGACGAUCUGUAGCGUGGUUUGAGAGGACGACCAGCCACACUGGGACUGAGACACGGCCCAGACCUCCGACGGGAGCAGCAGGUGGGAAUUUGGAACAAGUGGGGAAACCCUGAUCCGAGCCAUCCCGCGUGUCGCGAUAGGAACGGCCGUUCGGGUUAGUAAGACGUACGUUUGGACGUAAGGUAAGAAACGG
rnacentral:rRNA from 1 species